GAUUCAGUGAAGCUCAGUGGUAGAGUAUUUGCCUAGCAUGCCCAAGGCAAUGGGUUUGAUCCCCUGGAAUUG
rnacentral:tRNA from 1 species